rnacentral:misc_RNA from 1 species
AAGAGUUCUAUAACUCCCAAAACCCAUGUGAACAUACCACACGUUGCCUCGGCAGGUCGCGUCCUACCUCGAAGUGCCCUACCCCGUAGGGCCUACCUGGUGGGCGCGGGCAACCCUGCCGGCGGCCCACGAAACUCUGUUUAGCAUUGAAUUCUGAACAAAUAACUAAAUAAGUUA